rnacentral:lncRNA from 1 species
GGGGCCCAAAUGCCCAGGAGUACUGAGAGAUUGGAGGGGGCAUUGCUUCCUCCAGGAAGGUGUUGCAUCCAGAAGACUUCACGUGAUCAAGUUCCAAGCCCACAGACCCGCCAGGGCUUUGGUAGGCUGGUGUGAAGAUAUGAAGCACCUGGGCACUGAGGUGGGCUGUGUCUAUAAGUCAUCUCUGCCCCCACCCAGCUAGUGACCCUCUUGUCACCUGUGGCACGGCAUCUCUCCUCUCAGGCCAUGUCUGUGUAUGCGUUUAAGGAGCCAGGGGAAAAGGCUCAGCCAUUCCCAUCGCCAUCCUACCUUCCGGACUGAAGGGCCACCAAGGAAGUCCGUCACAUGUGACUAGUGCCGCUCCAUUGAGCAGAUAGCUACAAUAUGUUCUGCCCGUGGGUGGAC